rnacentral:tRNA from 1 species
GUUGGUGUAGCUCAGUGGAUAGAGCGUCUCCCUGCGGAGGAGAAGGCCGGAGGUUCGAGCCCUCUCACCAACGCCC